AUGUGCUAAGUAUAAGCAAUUAUACCGCGAAACUGCGAAUGGCUCAUUAUAUAAGUUAUCGUUUAUUUGAUAGCACAUUUACCUACUUGGAUAACCGUGGUAAUUCUAGAGCUAAUACAUGCUAAAAAUCCCGACUUCGGAAGGGAUGUAUUUAUUAGAUUAAAAGCCAACGCCCUUCGGGGCUUCUUGGUGAUUCAUGAUAACUGGUCGAAUCGCAUGGCCUUGCGCCGGCGAUGGUUCAUUCAAAUUUCUUCCCUAUCAACUUUCGAUGCGAAGGUCUUGUCUUCGCAUGGUUGCAACGGGUAACGGAGGGUUAGGGCUCGACCCCGGAGAAGGAGCCUGAGAAACGGCUACUACAUCCAAGGAAGGCAGCAGGCGCGCAAAUUACCCAAUCCCGACACGGGGAGGUAGUGACAAUAAAUACUGAUACAGGGCUCUUUUGGGUCUUGUAAUCGGAAUGAGUACAAUUUAAAUCCCUUAACGAGGAACAAU
rnacentral:rRNA from 1 species